rnacentral:rRNA from 1 species
AUACGUAGGGGGCGAGCGUUGUCCGGAAUGAUUGGGCGUAAAGGGCGCGUAGGCGGCCGCUUAAGUCUGGAGUGAAAGUCCUGUUUUCAAGAUGGGAAUUGCUUUGGAUACUGGGGGGCUUGAGUGCAGGAGAGGUUAUCGGAAUUCCCGGUGUAGCGGUGAAAUGCGUAGAGAUCGGGAGGAACACCAGUGGCGAAGGCGGGUAACUGGACUGCAACUGACACUGAGGCGCGAAAGUGUGGGGAGCAAACAGGAUUAGAUACCCUGGUAGUCCACACUGUAAACGAUGAAUGCUAGGUGUAAGAGGUAUCGACCCCUUUUGUGCCGGAGUCAACACAAUAAGCAUUCCGCCUGGGGAGUACGGCCGCAAGGUUGAAACUCAAAUGAAUUGACGGGG